UACGAAGGGGGCUAGCGUUGUUCGGAUUUACUGGGCGUAAAGCGCACGUAGGCGGCUCUUUAAGUCGGGGGUGAAAUCCUGGAGCUCAACUCCAGAACUGCCUUCGAUACUGAGGAGCUUGAGUCCGGGAGAGGUGAGUGGAACUGCGAGUGUAGAGGUGAAAUUCGUAGAUAUUCGCAAGAACACCAGUGGCGAAGGCGGCUCUCUGGGACGGUACUGACGCUGAGACGCGAAAGCGUGGGGAGCGAACAGG
rnacentral:rRNA from 1 species